AACCGUACCCUAAACCGACACAGGUGAACAAGUUUAGUAAACUAAGGCGCUUGAGAGAAUUAUGUUGAAGGAACUCGGCAAAAUGACUUCGUAACUUCGGGAUAAGAAGUGACUCUGAGAAGGUAACUUCUUAGAGUUGUCACAAAAUCGGGGGCAGCGACUGUUUAACAAAAACACAGGGCUGUGCAAACUCGAAAGAUGAUGUAUAC
rnacentral:rRNA from 1 species